AACGAACGCUGGCGGCAGGCUUAACACAUGCAAGUCGAGCGAGACCUUCGGGUCUAGCGGCGGACGGGUGAGUAACGCGUGGGAACGUGCCCUUCUCUACGGAAUAGCCCCGGGAAACUGGGAGUAAUACCGUAUACGCCCUUUGGGGGUAAGAUUUAUCGGAGAAGGAUCGGCCCGCGUUGGAUUAGGUAGUUGGUGGGGUAAUGGCCCACCAAGCCGACGAUCCAUAGCUGGUUUGAGAGGAUGAUCAGCCACACUGGGACUGAGACACGGCCCAGACUCCUACGGGAGGCAGCAGUGGGGAAUCUUAGACAAUGGGGGCAACCCUGAUCUAGCCAUGCCGCGUGAGUGAUGAAGGCCUUAGGGUUGUAAAGCUCUUUCAGCUGGGAAGAUAAUGACGGUACCAGCAGAAGAAGCCCCGGCUAACUCCGUG
rnacentral:rRNA from 1 species